GAAAAUUCUGCAAACUCACCUGUCAUAAGAAAGAGCCGGGUGUGAAGAUAUAGCAACGAGACGCAAACCGUUUCUGAUUGGACAUUCGGCAGAGCUUGCGAAACCGCGACAUCUGGAGGAGAGAGUAGGCUACAAAAUAUUUGCGCGAGACGGCAGUGCAGAACAAUCCAAAUCCCGUCUUGGAGACCGAGAGCCACAGCCAUGCAGCCUACCGACCAUCAAGUGCCAGCUCUCUCUCUCACCGCAAGGCGAGUUGAAAAACACCCAAGAGGAUAGGUGGAGAGAUGAAGCCAGUUUGUCCUGGGCUCCUACUAAAAGAGGUUCUCUCUCUCAUCGCAAGGCAAGUUGAAAAACACCAAAGAGGAUAGGUGGAGAGAUGAAGCCAGUUUGUCCUGGGCUCCUACUAAAAGAGGCUCUCUCUCUCACUGCAAGGAUCUAUAAAGACUGCAAAGUGCAAGUUACUGAGGAACAAAUACAACAAAACAAAGGUGGGAAAAGAGAGGGAGUGUGUGUGUAAUGGUGAGAGAAAACAGAGGGAAUGUGUAUGGAAUGGUGAGAGAAAACAGAGGGAGUGUGUGUGUAAUGGUGAGAGAAAAGAGAGGGAGUGUGUGUGUAAUGGUGAGAGAAAAGAACAGGAGUGUGUGUGGAUGGUGAGAGAAAAGAACAGGAGUGUGUGUGGAAUGGUGAGAGAAAAGAACAGGAGUGUGUGUGUAAUGGUGAGAGAAAAGAACAGGAGUGUGUGUGGAUGGUGAGAGAAAAGAACAGGAGUGUGUGUGUAAUGGUGAGAGAAAAGAACAGGAGUGUGUGUGGAUGGUGAGAGAAAAGAACAGGAGUGUGUGUGGAAUGGUGAGAGAAAAGAGAGGGAGUGUAGUUGUGAAAUGUAAUUUGGGAAUCAAUCAGCAUCCAUUAACCUGUGGGGCCAUCUCUCUUGUCUUUUUCUCUAUUUCUCUCCUUCAAUCUUGAUUUUUCUCUCUCUCUCCUUUGCUAAAUGUUCUCUCUCUCAGCAUGGCAAUGUGUGUACUCACUGCUCGCCCAAGCAGCGCCCAUACACCCGCUGUUUCGCCAGCCCACUCCCUAACUAAACUUUACUCACCCCCGCCUGCAACCCUCCCUCAC
rnacentral:lncRNA from 1 species